UGUAGCACCGCAAGUCCCAUCUAACAGCAGAGGAGGCCUGCAAAGUCAAAGCCACUCAAACCUUCCAUUUUAGGCCAGUUUGCCUCACACGACAUUUCCAUACGCGCUCUCAGCUGCUUCAGAAGGUAGAAAAACCUGCUCCGAGUACACGCCGCGCCUGUGCCCGUAAGAACAACCUGCCUGAAGACAAGGUCCAGCCGCUCAACGUGACACCGCUCAGGUCUAUGUCAUUAUUAUGGGUGCAUUUUCGUCUAAGAAACAACACAUCAUAUUGGGCACAACAGCAAAUAUCCCAAAGGGUUCCUGUGUAAUGACGUGGGACUGGAAAAGCCAGCGUAAAGCAACAGUGGAUUAAAUUCUGUUAAAGCUGGUUCAUUUGCCUCCAGUCCUUCUUUCUCUGAACUUUCGUUCACGGGCUGCAUUUCCCUCUGCUUCCUCCUCCAAGCUGUACAGGUGCGCAAGUUUACUAGCAAGUUUACUACUGGCUUCAUCCAAACAAUCAAUGUAAAGCUUUUCAAAUUUGAGAGUUAUUUAAAUAAAACCACAAACA